UACGUAGGGAGCAAGCGUUGUCCGGAAUCAUUGGGCGUAAAGCGCGCGUAGGCGGCCCGAUAAGUCCGCUGUGAAAGUCAACGGCUCAACUGUUGGAUGCCGGUGGAUACUGUCGGGCUAGAGUACGGAAGAGGCAAGUGGAAUUCCUGGUGUAGCGGUGAAAUGCGCAGAUAUCAGGAGGAACACCGAUGGCGAAGGCAGGUCUCUGGGCCGAUACUGACGCUGAGGAGCGAAAGCGUGGGGAGCGAACAGG
rnacentral:rRNA from 1 species